ACGCCGCUUGUUUGAAAACUUCCUGCGUUUUCUGCGUUCUUUGUGUGCUUCGCUGUGACAUCUUUGGAAUAUUCCUGCGUGUUGCUCGCUUUUUAUGGGCUUGUUGCCUCGAAGAUCGCCAUGAUCGCCUCCGACUCAGCGACAUCAAAGGUUCACAUAGGUUGAAGGAGUGCACAUUGAGAAGGUUAUCCUGGCACAGCUUACCAUGGCCUGCCAUGGUGGACCAGGAAAGUAUGCAAUGGCCUUGCUUCACCAUGUGUUCACAGAGGAGGAGCUCAUGGGCCAUUUGGGCUUUGGAAAUAACACCAAGGGGCAAGAAAGGCUCUUGACCCCACCAGGGUCAGUGCUGUUAUAGGCUUCACGUGUCACAAGUUUCCUGGUACCAACAUGCCCUAUGUAAAGAACUCUGGCCUCGCUUCUCGCAUGGGACCAAUAGCCUCUCAAGAGCCCAAGUUGGACAGCUCAAACCAAAACACAAGUGUCGUGCUUUUGUAACUCUCGACAUUCUUAUGUUUCAUGUUAGUCUCCUGAAGGGCCCAAUUUGGAUUUCUCAAAUGAGCAUACACAUGUUGUGCCAUUCUAUGCCUUGACACUUUUAUGUUAAUUUUAUUUAUG